rnacentral:rRNA from 1 species
CCGGUGAUUGGCAGGGUAAUCUUCUCCUAGUGGUCCGAUCGUGGCACAAGAGAGCGUUGCUCUCUGGGUGACGAGCGGCGGACGGGUGAGUAAUGUCUGGGAAACUGCCUGUAUGGAGGGGGAUAACUACUGGAAACGGUAGCUAAUACCGCAUGAUGUCUUCGGACCAAAGUGGGGGACCUUCGGGCCUCACGCCAUCAGAUGUGCCCAGAUGGGAUUAGCUAGUAGGUGGGGUAAUGGCUCACCUAGGCGACGAUCUCUAGCUGGUCUGAGAGGAUGACCAGCCACACUGGAACUGAGACACGGUCCAGACUCCUACGGGAGGCAGCAGUGGGGAAUAUUGCACAAUGGGCGCAAGCCUGAUGCAGCCAUGCCGCGUGUAUGAAGAAGGCCUUCGGGUUGUAAAGUACUUUCAGCGAGGAGGAAGGCAUUGUGGUUAAUAACCACAGUGAUUGACGUUACUCGCAGAAGAAGCACCGGCUAACUCCGUGCCAGCAGCCGCGGUAAUACGGAGGGUGCAAGCGUUAAUCGGAAUUACUGGGCGUAAAGCGCACGCAGGCGGUUGAUUAAGUCAGAUGUGAAAUCCCCGAGCUUAACUUGGGAACUGCAUUUGAAACUGGUCAGCUAGAGUCUUGUAGAGGGGGGUAGAAUUCCAAGUGUAGCGGUGAAAUGCGUAGAGAUCUGGAGGAAUACCGGUGGCGAAGGCGGCCCCCUGGACAAAGACUGACGCUCAGGUGCGAAAGCGUGGGGAGCAAACAGGAUUAGAUACCCUGGUAGUCCACGCUGUAAACGAUGUCGACUUGGAGGUUGGUGCCCUUGAGGCGUGGCUUCCGGAGCUAACGCGUUAAGUCGACCGCCUGGGGGAGUACGGCCGCAGGAACUGCAUUUGAAACUGGUCAGCUAGAGUCUUGUAGAGGGGGGUAGAAUUCCAGGUGUAGCGGUGAAAUGCGUAGAGAUCUGGAGGAAUACCGGUGGCGAAGGCGGCCCCCUGGACAAAGACUGACGCUCAGGUGCGAAAGCGUGGGGAGCAAACAGGAUUAGAUACCCUGGUAGUCCACGCUGUAAACGAUGUCGACUUGGAGGUUGUGCCCUUGAGGCGUGGCUUCCGGAGCUAACGCGUUAAGUCGACCGCCUGGGGAGUACGGCCGCAAGGUUAAAACUCAAAUGAAUUGACGGGGGCCCGCACAAGCGGUGGAGCAUGUGGUUUAAUUCGAUGCAACGCGAAGAACCUUACCUACUCUUGACAUCCAGAGAAUUUGCCAGAGAUGCCUUAGUGCCUUCGGGAACUCUGAGACAGGUGCUGCAUGGCUGUCGUCAGCUCGUGUUGUGAAAUGUUGGGUUAAGUCCCGCAACGAGCGCAACCCUUAUCCUUUGUUGCCAGCACGUAAUGGUGGGAACUCAAAGGAGACUGCCGGUGAUAAACCGGAGGAAGGUGGGGAUGACGUCAAGUCAUCAUGGCCCUUACGAGUAGGGCUACACACGUGCUACAAUGGCAUAUACAAAGAGAAGCGAACUCGCGAGAGCAAGCGGACCUCAUAAAGUAUGUCGUAGUCCGGAUUGGAGUCUGCAACUCGACUCCAUGAAGUCGGAAUCGCUAGUAAUCGUAGAUCAGAAUGCUACGGUGAAUACGUUCCCGGGCCUUGUACACACCGCCCGUCACACCAUGGGAGUGGGUUGCAAAAGAAGUAGGUAGCUUAACCUUCGGGAGGGCGCUUACCUAAUAGGCG